CCAGCAACAACCAGCUCAAAACUCACCUCUUUGUAUGAAUGCACCAUGUGGCGACUUCGUUUGGAUUUCUGCAGGAACAUGGCAGAUCGAGCAUGUGUGCUUGAGAGAGACAGAGACAGA